rnacentral:rRNA from 1 species
GACAGAGGGUGCAAACGUUGUUCGGAAUUACUGGGCGUAAAGCGUGUGUAGGCGGCCAAGCAAGUCGGAUGUGAAAGCCCUGGGCUCAACCCGGGAAGUGCACUCGAUACUGCCUGGCUCGAGUAUCGGAGAGGUUGGUGGAAUUCUCGGUGUAGAGGUGAAAUUCGUAGAUAUCGAGAGGAACACCGGUGGCGAAGGCGGCCAACUGGACGAAUACUGACGCUGAGACACGAAAGCGUGGGGAGCAAACAGG